rnacentral:rRNA from 1 species
AUUGAACGCUGGCGGCAGGCUUAACACAUGCAAGUCGAGCGAGCGGCGGACGGGUGAGUAAUGUCUGGGAAACUGACUGAUGGAGGGGGAUAACUACUGGAAACGGUAGCUAAUACCGCAUACAAUCAGAUGUGCCCAGAAUGGAUUAGAUAGUGGGUGGGGUAAUGGCUCACCAAGGCGACGAUCCCUAGCUGGUCUGAGAGGAUGACCAGCCAAACUGGAACUGGGACACGGUCCAUACUCCCACGGGAGGCAGCAGUGGGAAAUAUUGCACAAUGGGCGCAAGCCUGAGGCAGCCAUGCCGCGUGUGUGAAGAAGGCCUUCGGGUUGUAAAGCACUUUCAGCGAGGAGGCGUUACUCGCAGAAGAAGCACCGGCUAACUCCGUGCCAGCAGCCGCGGUAAUAC